UACGGAGGGGGCUAGCGUUGUUCGGAAUUACUGGGCGUAAAGCGCGCGUAGGCGGCUUUGUAAGUUAGAGGUGAAAGCCCAGGGCUUAACCCUGGAAUUGCCUUUAAGACUGCAUCGCUAGAAUCGUGGAGAGGUGAGUGGAAUUCCGAGUGUAGAGGUGAAAUGCGUAGAUAUCAGGAGGAACACCUGUGGCGAAAGCGGCUCACUGGACCACAACUGACGCUGAGGCGCGAAAGCUAGGGGAGCAAACAGG
rnacentral:rRNA from 1 species